rnacentral:lncRNA from 1 species
CCAUAUCAUAAUCAUCAGGAUCUAACAGAUUUGGCAAAAAUAGUCUAACACAUUUAAUCCACAAACUUCAUUCAACAAUACAUUUGAAAUGCAAGUGAAGAGUUAAUUCACAACUAAUUAUGCUCAACGUACUCCUCCUAUACUAAUUUAACAAUUUAUUCAUCAUACAUCAACCCAUACACGAAAUUAACUACAUAAAUUCCAAC